ACACGUAGGGGCCUGACGUUGUUCGGAAUCAUUGGGCGUAAAGGGCGCGCAGGCGGCCGUCCAAGUCCGGUGUUAAAUGGUCGGGCUCAACCCGAUCAUGCGCUGGAAACUGGGCGGCUGGAGUCCCGGAGGGGAUGCCGGAAUUCCAGGUGUAGGGGGGAAAUCUGUAGAUAUCUGGAAGAACACCGAUGGCGAAGGCAGGCAUCUGGCCGGAGACUGACGCUGAGGCGCGAAGGCGCGGGGAGCGAACAGGUUUAGAUACCCUGGUAGUCCGCGCAGUAAACGAUGCGCACCAGGUGUCGGGCGGCAGCGCCCGGUACCGGAGCAAACGCGAUGAGUGCGCCGCCUGGGGAGUAUGCCCGCAAGGGUGAAACUUAAAGGAAUUGACGGGG
rnacentral:rRNA from 1 species